GAUCAUGGCUCAGAACGAACGCUGGCGGCGCGUUUAAGCAUGCAAGUCGAGCGGCAAGGGCCUUCGGGCCCCUAGAGCGGCGGACGGGUGAGUAACACGUGGACAAUCUGCCCCCCGGCCCGGGAUAGCCCAGGGAAACCUGGAUUAAUACCGGAUGAGACGGGACCCGCGAUGGCGGGACCCGGAAAGGCGCUGCGGCGCCGCCGGGGGAUGAGUCUGCGUCCCAUUAGCUAGACGGCGGGGUAACGGCCCACCGUGGCGACGAUGGGUAGCCGGCCUGAGAGGGUGGACGGCCACAUUGGAACUGAGACACGGUCCAGACUCCUACGGGAGGCAGCAGCUAAGAAUCUUCCGCAAUGGGCGAAAGCCUGACGGAGCGACGCCCGCGUGAACGAAGAAGGCCGUGAGGUUGUAAAGUUCUUUUCGGGAGGGGGAACAACCGUGGCAGGGAAUGGCCGCGGGAUGACGUGAAUCCCGGAAUAAGCCCCGGCUAACUACGUGCCAGCAGCCGC
rnacentral:rRNA from 1 species